rnacentral:rRNA from 1 species
GACGAACGCUGGCGGCGUGCUUAACACAUGCAAGUCGAACGGAAAGGCCCUGCUUUUGUGGGGUGCUCGAGUGGCGAACGGGUGAGUAACACGUGAGUAACCUGCCCUUGACUUUGGGAUAACUUCAGGAAACUGGGGCUAAUACCGGAUAGGAGCUCCUGCUGCAUGGUGGGGGUUGGAAAGUUUCGGCGGUUGGGGAUGGACUCGCGGCUUAUCAGCUUGUUGGUGGGGUAGUGGCUUACCAAGGCUUUGACGGGUAGCCGGCCUGAGAGGGUGACCGGCCACAUUGGGACUGAGAUACGGCCCAGACUCCUACGGGAGGCAGCAGUGGGGAAUAUUGCACAAUGGGCGGAAGCCUGAUGCAGCAACGCCGCGUGCGGGAUGACGGCCUUCGGGUGGUAAACCGCUUUCGCCUGUGACGAAGCGCGAGUGACGGUAAUGGGUAAAGAAGCACCGGCUAACUACGU